GUUUAGAUCUCGAAUCAAUUUCUAAUCUAAACAAUUUAUAUUAUAUCUCAUACAAUUUUAUUAUCUGCAGAAUCAAGUUGACUCACUCUAAUACAUGAAUCAACUUGUCAUAGUGAGUCAACACAAUACUGAGAAAAAUAGAAAUCUGUAGAUUUAGCCUACACAAUUGAGUCAGCUCAUCAGCAAACGAGCUGACCUACCAAGGUCUUGAGUUGACUCCAACAAAAAUAAGUUAACUCAUCAAGUAC
rnacentral:lncRNA from 1 species